rnacentral:rRNA from 1 species
CACUAUGCCUAGCCUUAAACAUUGACAGUUCACUACACCCACUGUCCGCCUGGGAACUACGAGCACCAGCUUAAAACCCAAAGGACUUGGCGGUGCUUUAGACCCACCUAGAGGAGCCUGUUCUAGAACCGAUAAUCCCCGUUAAACCUCACCCUUCCUUGCCAUUUCCGCCUAUAUACCACCGUCGUCAGCUUACCCUGUGAAGGCCCCAUAGUAAGCACAAUCGGCAAUGCCCAGUACGUCAGGUCGAGGUGUAGCGUAUGGAAGGGGAAGAAAUGGGCUACAUUUACUAAUUCAGUAAAUACGGAUGAUCACCCUGCAACGAGUAUCUGAAGGAGGAUUUAGCAGUAAGCAAAAAAUAGAGUGUUUUGCUGAAAUUGGCCCUGAAGCGUGCACACACCGCCCGUCACUCUCUCCGAACUAAGACUUUGAAGAUAACUAAUACGCUAUAA